rnacentral:tRNA from 1 species
GGGAUAGUAGUUAACAAUAACAUUUAAUUUGCAAUUAAAAGGUGCUUAAUUAGCCUAUCUCA